CCGCCCCGGUCCCUGUCCGGCCCCUACCGUGGCCCUGCCCUGCCCGCACCCCCCGGCGCCGCCCCAGCAGGUGCAUCUCUGCGCAGUGCCAGGCCACCCUGACUCAGGCUUCCCCUCGGCCCUGGUCUGUCUCUGGGCGUGUCCCCAUCCUCGCAGGCAGCUCCUCCAAGCCGGCCCUUCUUGGAGAAACUUAAUCUUCCUGGAGUUGCAAUCACUGCGGCAUCCUUUGUGCCAUGCCCGAGCAGGGUGGGCAGACUCCUACCACGUCAAACCCCGCAGGCGUUCACCGGCCGACACUUUGAGCACUUGCCUGCCAAAGCCGUGCAGCAUCCCAGGCUGGGGAGCCGAGGCAGGGCCGCCAAGGCUGCUGCUGGCUCAUGUCUUGGUGCAGAGAUUCCCAGUGUUGGUGGGAAUGCUUCCCCAUAAUCGAGUCCGCCCUGCUCGAAAAUCCUCCUUCUCGUGGCCUCAGGGUGGGGGGCCAGGGGUCCACUGUUAGUGGUGGGCGUUGCGUGUGGACAGAAGGAAGGGCAAUGACUGAUCUAGACAGAGGGGCCUCCCACAGCGCUGAUGCCCACGGUCAGUCUGUUUGGUAUGAAAUUGUGUGUACACAGGAAUUGUCUCUUUUCUGAAGUAGAUUCUGAGCUUCAUGAGGGCAGACACUGUCUGCUGCAUGUGGGCUUAGGACAGAUGCUUGGUGCCUAUUUGUUGCAUGAGUGAAUGCCCCUUGUCACUUCCUUGGUCGCUGCCUAAUUAAAACCAUUACCUUAUAGGGUUAUUUCUGCUUGUUUGCCUCUUUGCCUCCUGAGCUGUGAGCUCCCCAGAGGCACAGAUUGUCCCUUGCUGGGGCUUGCCUUGCUCGCGCGUCUCCAUGACAGGCCCGCAAGGAAGCCUUGUGGACGGAGGGGCUGAGCCCCUGUGACAGUGUGCAGACCCGGGCAGGGUGCAAGUGGAAGAGUUAGCUCUUUUCUCCUGAGCAACUGUAUCAUUUCAUUCAAAACAUCUUGAUGCUGCCCUUUGUAAACCUGAAAACCUGUUUUCCUCUAGAAAGUUGGCAUCUUUGGAAAUGGAAAAGAAAGGGAAAAGAGAGAAAAGUAGGAGCCGCGCCAAGCCCCCCACCCCUUUAACUUCUGAGAGGAUUUUAAAAAAUCCUCCAAGGGAACUCUUUAAAAUUGAACAUGUGCAGAGUUGCCAUUGUGGCUCAGCGGUUAAUGAACCCAACAAGCAUCCAUGAGGACGCGGCCUCGCUCGGUGGGUUAAGGCUCCAGCGUUGCCGUGAGCUGCGGUGUAGGUCCCGGGUGCGGCUCGGAUCCCGCGUGGCUGUGGCUCUGGCGGAGGCCGACGGCUGUGGCUCCGAUUCGACCCCUAGCCUGGGAACCUCCGUAUGCCACAGGUGUGGCCCUAAAAAGACAUGACAAUAAAUAAAUAAAAUAAAAUUGAACACUUGCUGGAGUUCCCUGGUGGUGCAGAGGGUUGAGGAUCUGGCAUUGUCACUGCUGUGGCUUGGGUUGCAGUUGUGACAUGGGUUGGAUCCCUGGCGCUGAAGUUUGGAUGCUGUGGGUGGGGCCAAAUAAAUGAACACCUUUUGGAACAAGAGAGGGGAGCACAAGUUGUUUUUUAAAAGUCGCUAGUUUUCUGCAGAGCAUAUGCCAGGCAGUUCCAAGGGAACCUGUUUUGAUUUUGUCUCAACUGGGAAGGCCCAAGUAAGACUCCCUGGCUGGCAGUUUCUUCUCCAUCCCUGCUUCCUGAAAUAGCAGUAGACUCCUCUGCUGUUGAGUCUCUUGAGGGGGAACAUUCUAGAACUCGGGGGAGAAUGACGGACAAGGCUGUGUGCACAGUUGAGGACCUUAGGAUGGAGCCGUUAAGGUGAUUAAUGCACGGGUAAGUGACAUAGGACAGAGUGAAACAAGUGCUGUACAAGACGUCCGGAAAAGCUGCUGUGCGUGUGCAGAGGUGGAGCGAAGGUUUUCGACAGGAGUAGAAGGUCUCACCCCGGCUGAUGUUAGAAUCACAGGGAAAGCGUUGCAUGCCCAGACCACAGCCCAGAAUCUCCAGGGGGCGGACCUCAGGCAUCCGUUUCUGUUCUAAAGCACACCAGAAGGUUCCAUUGUGCGGCCAAGACAAGGAACCAGUGAGCCAGACUGGGCUGUCAGUGGCUGCUUCACAGAGGGGCUGGGACUGGUCUGGGAACUGGUAGGUGGGACCUCAGAAAGUCGAGGCAGGGAUGGAGGGUGAUACUUCCAAGCAGACAACACCGCCGAGGGGCCCACACCCUGGGGAAAGCAAAACGCAGCACCGGGAGGCUUGGGCAGUGCCUGUUGUUUGCCAAUCUGGAGAGAUUUGGUCAGCGGGCAUACAGGAGCUGAGUAAUGAGCUUACCGCCUUGCUCGUUACAGGAGAUCCAUGGUUACCUCUCUCUGGGGAUUCUCAGUUGCCUCAUUACCUCAUUUCCUAGCCCUAGAGAGGCAGAAGGCUGGGGGACGGGGAAUGGGACCGAGGCUGCAGCAGGGGGUUAGGAGAGCGGGCCGUGGCACAGAUUCUGUGGAACUUGCUCCUGAGAAUCUCCUUCGGGCCACACCUUUGGCUUCAAAAUACAUCCCAUCGCUCUCUGCCAGGAGCUUCAGUGGAAACUCAGAGCCCCAUGAUCCCAAGAAGCCUGCUGUGCUCACCCAGGACAGCACAGGUGGUGGCACUGGGCAUGAGACCUGCAAACGAGGUCUCCACCUGGGCCUCCCAAUGCAAAUGACCAUGGUCUUGAACCUGGCCUCAUGGGGAUCUUAAACAGUGGCUGAGGCUUGUGGAUCCGUUCCCAUCUAGGUAAGGGCUGUUCGUGUUAAUAAGUUGCCUACGAGCUUUGUUCCUGUGCACUGCUAUCUGUAAAAGAGAUUGAGCUUGCACCACCUCUAAGUCCUCUGAGAGUUCCCUGCGAGCGUCCCGAGCACCACGGCCAUAGAAACACGCCAAUGCAGACUUUCAAACAGACGAGGGGCGAAGUGACCGUGAUUAAAUUUCCAUCAUAUCGAUAACACAGUCCGUUGUAAAACAAAUGCUGUUUUUCAAAGAAAGCCACGUGACCCAGUCCACAUCCCGUUUAUAAACUCUUGGUGAAACCUGAGUCUGCAUUUGACGAUCUGGUUCUGAGUCCCGCUUAUUUCAGUUUCUCGUCCUAGAGGCGUUCACAGGUAAACACGACGCACCUCAGGAAGGCAGGCAGCUUGUGUUUCAACCCCACCUGCCACUCGUGCAAGGGCCUUUGAUGGCCUGGGCUGGCUGAUGCUCAGGGGCCGUCAGGGGAGGUGGGACUGGGGGUUCCCAAGGCUUUGGUGCGCAGGUGUCAGUGCUCCUGGGGGUGAUGCUCUGGCCACAUCCUCGGCGGUACAGCUGCGCAGCUGUGGAAACAGCCCCAAACACCUGCUCUCUGUAGACACUUUCUUCUUGGCUCCAAUUAUUUGGAAACCUGUAACCCUCACGCAUGGUCAUCUCUUGCCCAAAGGGACAGAUUUGAGUGCAUCGGCUUAAAAUCAGUAGGCUACCUGACACGCUCCUGCACUUGUCAAUGGGAAAAGUUUCCCAUUGUGGCUCAGCAGAAACAAACCUGACUCAAAUCCAUAAAAACACAGGCUCAAUCCCUGGCCCUGCUCGGUGGGUUGAGGAUCCUGUGCUGCCAUGGGCGUAGGUCUCAGAUGUGACUCGGAGUCUACCUCUAGUCCAAGAACUUGCAUCUGCCACAGGUGCGGGC
ensembl:lncRNA